CCCUUUUACAUGCUCGAAAUCCUAAGACAUUAUUCAUCCGUUCUGGGCUUGUAGUUAAUUAUUUUUAUGAAGAUUUCGUUUCUGUGAAGCGGAGGCUGCGGAGUUAAGUUCUAAUACAGUACUCUGUCAUUGAGAAAGAGUGAAGCUAAAGUGCUGAUCCCUAGUUCGUCAGUAUGUGCACCGUCUAUCCCGAUAACGUCAACGCCUGGAACGCGGUGGACGUGCGCGACAGCCAUGGUAUGGUGCAGCACGGCCGCGUGACCAACGUCGUCAGCAACGGCUUCCUCGUCGACCGGGACUGCCCCGGACGACACACCGACCUGGUGGAGCACCGCGAAGCCUUACGCUGUCGCCAUUAUCUCUACUAUUUCCACGAUAACAUCCGCGAAUAUAGUCGCGAACUCGCCAACUACACACGCUCUGCGCUAGCCAUCACUGGCUUUCCGACGGUGGAAGUGCUAGCCCGUGUACAUGCCAACCGCCCGUGGACGUGGUACCCCGCUGCACUGGUCUACCCGCGGCUGUUCUGGUAGCGCUACCUCUUUGUGGAGAUACGUUUGGGUGGGGACCACCUGGUGCGGCAGCUGAUGCGAGCGCAUCCCUUGCGCUUGCGACUGGCAGCCUGCCAGGGGGAGUUUUGCACUGUCAGUCGAUGCAAAUUCAUCACGUACGGCCAACAGCUGCCCGCUGGCUACUGGGGCAGCGAGCCCGUUUCCGCUCCGCUGUGGGAUGCCUGGAAGGAGGCCGUCAAGGCGUCCCAGCACGAUGUCUGGCCAGUGUGCGUCCUGGGGGGAAUUGUGGUCUUUCUGCAGAUCAGAGCCGAUCCUCCGCUUCAGAUGAAGGACCUGGAGGAACUACUGUUCGAAGCCAAGAGUCGACUGGCGCAACAAUCUGUCGCCGAACCAACUCCGCCCCCAUCACUAUGCACCCCGGCGCAUCAUGAAGCCAUCCCAACGCCCGCUCCUCGUAGAGGCCCUCGAUCAGUCGCAGGCAGUCCUCCAAGGAUUCGUUGUAGGGCGCCUGCUGCGAUGCCUGACUGAUGAUGAUCCGUUUGGCGCUGGCACCAAAGCACCGCCACAAACUUUGUGCCACCAUGUCCGCGGAGUGCGUCCACUCGGCCUCGUUGGGGGUGGUCGGCAUGCCACGGUGAUCCACGGAACGCUGGUGGGAAAAGGACACGAAGAUUUCCUGGUCAGGCUUCUCCAGAAGAGCGUUCCACAGUGAGCAGACCCGUCGACAUUGGGCCCGCUGUGCGCUGUUUAACACGUGCAGGAUCUGGACCAGGAUUAUCACGGGCAGCCACGGGUACGACCGGGAAGACCCUGACACUCAUCGUGCACAAGUUCCACCUGGAUGUCGAUAGAGUAGAAGAUUUGUGUCACCGUCGUCUGGAGUGCCAGAUACCGGGGAGAAUCAUCUGGACGGACUGCACAACGAGAACUUCCACCGGGAGCCCAUUGUGUACGGAGUCACUCGAACGCCUGCCAUUGGAAUGAAGACGGAGGGGGCCGAUGACCUGUACGAAGUGGUGGAAGCUAAUCUGCCCGAUAUUGGAGACGACCUGGCGGUGUUGUCCGAAUGGAUUGCGGGUGUGGCGGCCAGUGGAGGCGACAAGUCUGUGAAUCGUGUGCGGAUCAGAAGGAUGGGCAUUCGCUUAUAUGACCGUUGGUCGCCAUUACUCUCGCGACUCGGUUAUAAACAAAUCAAAACAGCAUAUAGUUUUCAAAGUGACUACCGCGAAAGUGAAAGUACAGGCUACCAAAUUCGUGUACAUGCAUGAUGCAGGAAAACUUUCACUUUCGCGCUCUCCUAUACACCUUUUCGUAUUGUUUCAUGAUGUGACCAAUUGUAACCAAAUGAUGUUCACAUAUUGGCAUGAAUAUUGUUUGUGAGCGCAA